rnacentral:lncRNA from 1 species
GAGAGAGAAUGUGAGUGUGGGGUCCACAAAAAAUCAUUUUCGGAUUCUUUCUUCUUACUGAAGAAGACUUUCUUCUAAUAUACUAUAAAUAGACCAUAUACAGAGGAGGAGGGGAGAGAAAAAAAAACGGAAAAAUCACAGUAGAGAGGAGACAUUGAGAGUCUUCAUUCUUCUUCAUGAAGAAGAUAUGAAUACCACCAGGUUAUGUGGCCAAACGACGACCCCCACGUCAAACAGCCCCCGUCGACCUCCCAACAGCCCGUCAUCCAUCACCCAACACACAUCAGCUCUGCUAUUCCUAUUCAAACGACUAUAACCACCACCAGCCUAACGCCAGACACACAGACCAUGCGAGAAAUCCGGCGAGAAAUCCGGCGAGAAAUCCGGCGAGAAAUCCGGCGAGAAAUUUGGUGAGUUUCGAGGUUUCGUCGUAGUUCCGUCCGAGCUCCAGUGGCGGAUUGACUUUUAUUCCGGUUUUUUAUUUUUAUUUGCAUUUCAGUCGAAGUUUGAGUUAAAAGUGAGGUCAAUUCUUAUACCUUAUCUCUCUAAUUUUACUGCUCUUACAUGUCCAUCCAUGGCUUGGCUGAAAUAAAUUUGUCUGGUCUCGUUUAACAAUAUGGAUCUGAAUACAUGUGUUGAAUAUGAUUUGUUGAUGAGUAUUUGGACGUUUGAAUCUCGUCAUCUAAUUUGGAAUGAUUAUGUGACAAUUCUUGUUUGUUGAUUGCUAAGGAAUCGGAAAGAGCGUUUCUGUUUUGGUUUAUUUUUGGAAAAAAGCAAAAAAAAGAAAAUGAAACUUCUAAAACCAUGCGAGAUUUCCUAGAGUUCUUUUGGUAUAUGUUCGUUAUUGGUUUGGAGGUAACGUUGCAUUUUAAUUGUAGCUUGAUUAGUAUUUUAGUUUCUGUUGGAUUUGCUAAUUACAAAGUGUAUUUAUUGUUUGAUUUGCCAAUUAUAAGUUGAGCAGAUUUUUCUUGUUAGUAUGAAAUAAAUCAAUAUUUAGAAAUACUAGUAGUUUUCUUUCCGGUGCAAUUAAUAGUAAAUCAUUGUGACUAUGAGUACGAUUUUGGUGGUGUAUUUGUGACCCCCAAUUAGUUUAAAUAUGAUUAUUUGUAGUUUACUUAGUUGGAUGUUUUUCCUUUAAUAAAAUCAAGGUGUGCCGUGCCGAAUAAAAAUCACAAUUGCACGCCCUCAUUUGGUUAA